GAAAUAAUGAAAUAAAGAAAUAAAGCAUUAAAGAAAAGUAGAAAUUAUAUAUGAAUUAGAAAAAUUGACUUGAAUUAUAUUGAAAGACUUGUUUUAAAAGAUAUUGUUUUGAGUUCAUAUGAAUUUAUAUCUAAAAGCACCAAAGUAGGGUUAUUAGAGAACUCAGGAAUGGUGAAGCAUAAUGGUCCAUUAUUAGGGAAUCUAUAUGACCCAAAUUCUGAUUGAUUUCCUGCAAAAAUGACUUGUGGAAAAGAUUCAUCGGUAUAAUCCAAAGCAAAAGGAUCACGAUCGAAGAAUGGGUAAGUAGGUAUUACAUCAGGGCAUGUAGGAGCAAUAUUUCUUGAUUCAACACAAAAUUUGAGAGCAUCAAUAGGCUUCGAAUAUGAAGAAAAUAGAGAAAUCUUUGAAAUACAUUGGCCAGAAACACCAGUUACUCUUACAUUGUUAAUAGAAAACAAGCAAGGAUUUGUGAAAGAAUUAAACGACUGAUAGUUUCUUGAAUUUUUGAAUAUAUAAGGCUGGAAAGGAGGUUGAGGAAGAGAAAUUGGAACAGGAUCAUCCUCUCCAGGCAUGAUCGCAAGAGAUAUAGUGGAAGCCAGCUGAGAAAUAAAGGAAUCAACCACACCAAGCCUGCUUGAAAGCAACUCAUUAUUUACAACUAACUUGGUUCCAGUACCAGUAACAGUCUCUUUUGCAGUAUCUAAAAGUCUAAUAAUGUUUCCUGCUAUAAUUAAGUAAGCAAUUUGUGAUGAUAAAAGUUUGUGUUCGCUACUAUAUGAAGAAACUCCCAUAAUGAAAUCACGAAAUAAUUGUAAAGAUAAUGAAUUCUCUAUUUCUGAUCCUAUAUUUAAACCGGAAACAAAAGCCAAAUAUACUGGCUGAGAAGACUUCCCUAAUGUAUAUUCUUUUCCAAUAAUCUCUUCAGGAGGAGAGGCAAAAGUCAAAUCCGAGACUAGAAAGUUGCCCCCUGAAUUUUGUACUCCCCUUACUGCUAGUAUGGUACCAGAAAUCAAAUUAUUCAUUGAAAAUACAUCUUCUUUUAGAGUCAAUGGAAUUCUUGAUGAACUAUCCUCUAUAUAAACCUUGUCAUCAUUACUAGUAUAAUUGCUUAAUUGACUGUUCUUUGUAGCCUCUUCGAUAUCUUGAAGAUACUCAUCCAAAAUUGUUGGUCUAUUUUUCAUUUCCUUUGUCA
rnacentral:antisense_RNA from 1 species